rnacentral:rRNA from 1 species
GGGGAAUCUUCCGCAAUGGGCGAAAGCCUGACGGAGCAACGCCGCGUGAGUGACGAAGGCCCUUGGGUCGUAAAACUCUGUCUUCAGGGAAGAAAAAAAUGACGGUACCUGAGGAGGAAGCCCCGGCUAACUACGUGCCAGCAGCCGCGGUAAAACGUAGGGGGCGAGCGUUGUCCGGAAUUACUGGGCGUAAAGGGCGUGUAGGCGGCCCGUGAAGUCAGGAGUGAAAACUCGGGGCUCAACCUCGAGAUUGCUUUUGAAACCAGCGGGCCUGAGUGCAGGAGAGGAAAGUGGAAUUCCCAGUGUAGCGGUGAAAUGCGUAGAUAUUGGGAGGAACACCAGUGGCGAAAGCGGCUUUCUGGCCUGUAACUGACGCUGAGGCGCGAAAGCGUGGGGAGCAAAC